GGCAGGGCCAAGUUGCAAACACAGCCUUGGAGAUUCCGGAGGAAAACAAGCCCGCUUCCCCCUUGCCUGUGACUCAGACGUGGCAGACACAUUUGAGACCAUGAAGAACCCAGGCCGUUGUCAACUUAAUGAUAGAUGCCACAGUGACAGCAGUGAACAGCUAGACCAGAGAUGGGGAAGAGUCUCCAGGGAGAAAUAGUUGGGCACAUGGGAAAUAAAAAGUGAAGAAUCCACACGCGACUCCCUAAGGAGAAUCCUGUCACUGGCAUGUCCAGGGAAACUGACCUUCGCCAACCUUUCAGCCCGGCUGGCCAAGAGAGCGUGAUGUCCAUCAGACAGCUGCCCAGGCAUAUGGCCACAUUAGGACUUUCCUGGGCCCUGGGCACUUUGGCCUUCAUGGGUCCCUUUCUCCAU